ensembl:lncRNA
GGGGGAAGGGAGGAGAAGUUAGGGUGACCCUCCCCCCAGUUCCCUGCGGAAGAAGAUCGGAGGCAGCUGCCGCUGGGAAAGGUAUCAUCUUCUCUGCCCAUUUGCCAUAACAAAGACAUCACCAACUGAGCGAGGGCCACAGGAUCCUGACUCGAUUGGGUCACAGCAUCUUCUGAUUGUCCACUAUGAGCUCCCCAGCACAGCCAGGUCAGUCAUUUUGGACACAGUAAAAUCAUUUAUUGGAAAUGCAUUACUUUGUUACUGAUGUACUUUG